rnacentral:rRNA from 1 species
GACGAACGCUGGCGGCGUGCCUAAUACAUGCAAGUAGAACGCUGAAGGAGGAGCUUGCUUCUCUGGAUGAGUUGCGAACGGGUGAGUAACGCGUAGGUAACCUGCCUGGUAGCGGGGGAUAACUAUUGGAAACGAUAGCUAAUACCGCAUAAGAGUAGAUGUCGCAUGACAUUUGCUUAAAAGGUGCAAUUGCAUCACUACCAGAUGGACCUGCGUUGUAUUAGCUAGUUGGUGAGGUAACGGCUCACCAAGGCAACGAUACAUAGCCGACCUGAGAGGGUGAUCGGCCACACUGGGACUGAGACACGGCCCAGACUCCUACGGGAGGCAGCAGUAGGGAAUCUUCGGCAAUGGACGGAAGUCUGACCGAGCAACGCCGCGUGAGUGAAGAAGGUUUUCGGGUCGUAAAGCUCUGUUGUAAGAGAAGAACGAGUGUGAGAGUGGAAAGUUCACACUGUGACGGUAUCUUACCAGAAAGGGACGGCUAACUACGUG